GGUAAGAAGGACGGGUCGCCAUGAGGUACAAAGGACAGGUCGCCAUGGGGUACAAAGGACAGGUCGCCAUGGGGUACAAAGGACAGGUUACCAUGAGGUACAAAGGGGUAGGAAGGACAGGUCGCCAUGGGGUAAGAAGGACGGGUCGCCAUGGGGUAAGAAGGACGGGUUGCAAUGGGAUACGAAGG